rnacentral:rRNA from 1 species
AACGUAGGUGGCGAGCGUUAUCCGGAUUUACUGGGCGUAAAGAGCGUGUAGGCGGCCACGCAGGUCCGUUGUGAAAACUGGAGGCUCAACCUCCAGCUGUCGACGGAAACCGUGUGGCUAGAGUCCGGAAGAGGAGAGUGGAAUUCCUGGUGUAGCGGUGAAAUGCGCAGAUAUCAGGAAGAACACCAAUGGCGAAGGCAGCUCUCUGGGACGGUACUGACGCUGAGACGCGAAAGCGUGGGGAGCGAACAGG